rnacentral:lncRNA from 1 species
GGUUCUCCUGCCUCAGACUCCCAAGUAGCUGGGACCCAGAUGUGUGCCACCACACCUGGCUAAUUAUUAUUAUUAUUAUUGUUGUAGAGACAGGGUCUCACCAUCUUGCCCAGACUGGUCUUGGACUCUUGGCCUCAGGCGAUCCUCCUACCUUGGCCUCCCAAAGUGCUGGAAUUACAGUGAGCACCAUUUUAUGGAUAAAGAGACAGAGGUUUAGGGAGUUACUUGCUCAAUGUCACUCAGCCACUGACCACAUAUCUGGAGAGUGCUUUUAAAUUUAGGGUAAGAUAAUGGUAUUUAGUGUCCUAUUAAAAAACCUUGCUUGAUUUGCUACCUCACAUCCUUAGCAGAAUAGUUUUAACUACAGGCAUUACU